rnacentral:rRNA from 1 species
GCUAAGAAUAUUCCGCAAUGGACGAAAGUCUGACGGAGCGACGCCGCGUGGAUGAGGAAGGCCGAAAGGUUGUAAAGUCCUUUUGUCGAUGAAGAAUAAGUGGUGGAGGGAAUGCCAUCAUGAUGACGUUAGUCGGCGAAUAAGCCCCGGCUAAUUACGUGCCAGCAGCCGCGGUAACACGUAAGGGGCAAGCGUUGUUCGGAAUUAUUGGGCGUAAAGGGUACGUAGGCGGUUAUGUAAGCCCGGCGUGAAAUCCUGCAGCUUAACUGUAGAGCUGCGCUGGGAACUGCGUAACUUGAGUCAUGGAAGGGAAGUUAGAAUUCCAGGUGUAGGGGUGAAAUCUGUAGAUAUCUGGAAGAAUACCGGUGGCGAAGGCGAACUUCUGGCCAAUGACUGACGCUGAGGUACGAAAGUGCGGGGAGCAAACAGGAUUAGAUACCCUUGUAGUCC